rnacentral:lncRNA from 1 species
UUUUAUUAAAUGAACGCUUCAAAUACAUAUAAUAAUAUUAUUGGCCACUCAUGAUAUAUUAGUUGUUAACCACAUCAUGGUAACAAAAAUAUGAUUUAUUCUAUUUUUAUUCUCAACAACAUGAGAUGCAUAAAUAAGGAAACUCGGCUUGGCAAUUGCAACAUUUGAAUUUUUUGCAUAAUCCAAAGCAACCUGAAAUUGUCAAAACAAAUAUUCUUCAUUUAUUAAAAAAUUAAAACUUUAUCAUAAAGACUCCUCAUAUAAUAAAAGAAAGCAUGAUGAGCCAAUCUGAAUCAAUGAGAGAGUAUGUAUUAGGAAACCAAAAUUUUGAUUAUAACAUAAUUAUACUUAGAAGAAUUUCAAUCAUUUAAUGUAAUUUUUUUUUUAAAAUUAUCAGGAAAUUCUAACAUCCAAAUAUCAAAUUUAAACCUUCCAAAUAUGAUGUGAUUUUGAAUAGUUUAAUACAUUCAAAAUUAUGUAUAUGUUUAGUUAUAUAUGCACAUUUCGAGUUGAAAUAUUUUUUUUUAUUAAUAUGAAGACAAUAAUAAUAAUAAAAAGGUAAAGAAAUCCUUAAACUAAGUUACCUGAAACAGACACACGAGUGCUACGACUUGCGGUAGACAUUUUUAAUGACAUUAUCGGUGAUGUUGCUUCUGGUGCAGAUGAUAGUUCUGGUGCAUAUACUGGUUCUAGUGUUGCUAGAGUUAAUGGAGAAAAAAGAACAAAAAGGACAAUAAUGAUGUAUCCCAUAGAAUUAGUUGGUUUUGCCAUCUUAAACAACUAUUUAUUUUGCUUGUAAGUACUUUUUUC